CUGAUGCGAGGUCGUCGACGAUUGUUUCUGGAUAAGCUGUAUCUACUAUUAACGUCUGCCCCCACCGAACAACUGUUUGCCGCCUACGCUGUGGCACGGUGGUUCAUCGCGGCAUCUUCAACCAGCCGACGACCAACGUUUCCGGGACAGUUUCUCCGUUGCGUUACGAGCGAUUUUUGUUGACGCAUGUGAAACCACGCGCUGUGUAUUCAUGCUCCAGCUAGACGUCAUAUCCUCGUGACCUGCGAGACCAGCGUGUGCGUACAGUGCACGUAAAUGUGAUCUUACAUACGUGCCAUGUCGGGACACAUCAAGGGCACGGCCACAGAAGCGAGGAUCCGCGAUGGAAAAUCACUAUCGCGACGGCGGACAAGAAGCUCUCCGUGAAAAUUAGCUGCUUCGAGAUCAAAGCACCCCCCAAGAAAGCUCUCUUCACAUGAAAACUGGCAGUGAUUUGAUUGCAAGAUUGGAAGCAAAGGUGCACCAAAGGAAUAACGUCGAGACAUUCAACCAGAACGAGACCCACGAGUCCUUACAUGCAACUGUACUUAGAGUCGAGAUGUGAUAUGGAAAAGGUUAAAAUGCUGGGUCAAGGCUUCCUGGUGUGGUGCAGCCAGAGGGUGGAUUCCCUGCUCAUGUGAUCUAUGGAUCUUGGUUAAAAGCACUCGGAGGCGAGAUUUUUCUUAAACAAACAAUCGUUCGGAGGGAAAAACGCGACGCGAGUUUCUCGCGUUGGGUAAACGGGAAGACGGAGGAGGUCGUUGACCCGUCCGUGGUCAGCGAGGACGAGUACGGAUCGAUGAUGGCGGGCGAAGAGCAGGGGCAAGCAGAGAGGAAGAAGACGUUUACCGGUAAUGACACGCGAAACUUGAGUGGUACACGGGAAACGCGUGGAAUUCUUACGCAAAGAGGAGGCUCGAGGUAAGUCGGUCGCUGAUUCAGACUAGUCGGGGCCACUCCGAGCUGAUAUCAACGGGUUUUAACGGGAUCGUGAGUAAUCGACUCGCGCCGUCAAGGUGCAGGCCACCAAUUCGAACCGAAACGAGGCAGGAAAUGCUCGGCCUUCCGACCGGUAGUUCGAUACAACCUAAGUCACGCGUUUAUUCAAAUACAUCCACAUAUUAACUUCUACGAAUUACACCUGUACGCGUAUUCUUAGCUUUUCUUCUUUUUGUUUACCACAGUUAGGAAAAUUUCAAUAAUCUCUCGCGAGAAGAAUACAAAUUUCUUACAAAUUUCUCUAGCAAAGUAUAUUUUAUUCGAUAUUCGAGAGCAAAUUAAAAGGUGAUUUUUCGUUAUUCAAGGACGUUGGAAGAUCAAUCGUAGUUGAAUUUGAUUUUUUGAUCUCGUUAAAAAAGAGGCUACUUGAUAGUAUUUAACAUUUGCGUAUCUUCGAAUUUCUAACGUAAUAAUCGACAAUCCGUGAAUGCGGACAAUGUUUCGAGACAGCAAAGUAAUAUAUUAGCAAUAUUUACACGCAUGAUGUCAGUCAGUAUUAGGUAAUCAAAUUACGUUCGCCAGGAUUAAUUCUACAAAGUAAAUGCAUCGCAAUUACACGGUUCAAUGAUUUACGAUUAUGACUGCGCUGCAAUUACGCGAUAUUAACAGUCCCCUUACUAUGUACAGAUAAUAAAUAUGACUACUUUACGUUUCGACUAUCGUUGGUGUCCGCGAAAAUUACAGAAUCAGUUAUGGGAUUCUCUCCAAGUUCGAUGCUUGGAGCAAUAGAAUAAAAUAAAAUGAACAGAAACUGAUAUUAAAUAUCGUUUAAAAUUAUUCUCCACCGUCCAAAUGUCUCGUGCAACGGAAGUAACGAAUUUAAGGCUGUUUGCAAAAGUACGUUUAAAGAUGUCCGUCACGACACGACCGCCAGUUUUCGCGGUUCGUGUGCCAGCGACUUUCGAAAACGUGCUUUAAUCCGAACGAUUCCAUUAUACGAUCGUAUUAACGCGCACGACACAUGUUUUCACUCCUCCGUUGCUUUCACUUUCGCGUACGACGCGUAAAGAUAACCAACAAUCGGCCGAUGACUUUUUAUCAGGAGAGGAGAGGCUGUUGUCGUCAUUGAACUUGGCUCUUACGAGGCCAGUGCUAACGAACGGAUAAUUGAGCCUUUUAAUUGAACAAGUGCGCGCUGCCAACAGAGAUUGGCAGAAUUCUUAUCUAAAUUUGAAUUUCGAACAAUUCGUUAGCUAUAAAUAAUAAUUGCUAUUACAAAAUCGAAGAUUUUACAACCGAGAGGUCAACGUUUGUUCGUUUAUCGCAACACUGUUUCGCUAGAAUAAUCUUUAUUAUUUUAAUCUGGGGAAAAAAGGAAAAUAUAGAGAAAGAGGUUUUCUCAGAGCAGCGGGGCCAUUUUUGCGAGCAACGAAGGUCGAUUUCUCGCGUUGAAACGCACAGUCGUUCGACGGCGCGGAAACAGUUCCUUCGAUCGGCCGGAAUAAUCGCGGUUUCGCUGUAAUUUAACUGCGAAUUGGCAAUUAUUUACUGAGCCCCUCGCUAACAACGCACGAGAGAAAUAAUAAUACUAAUUGGCCUCCAUCGCGAGUGUGCGCGAGUUAUUUUAGACGAUUGAUAUAAGUGCAUACCCGAACGGAGUGAAAUUGCAUGUAAUCACGGAAAACGAACGUCAAGAGCGGGGGGGAUCAUUAAUCGUGGAAAGCAGUGAUUUUCCUUUCUAUCUAUUUUGCUCGCGGCCGCGCCGGUCGACGACCUUUUUAACCCGGUAACCACUUGCUCGCGCUUUAACCGCGCUUUCUUUCGUCACGAGUUCCCAUUUCACUCUCGCGCUUUUCCGUUCGUUUUCUCUACGAAUCUCCACCUCCUUUCCUGCCGCCCAUUUGCGUGAAUUAUGGCGCUCCGAAGUGCAACGACGCCCGAAUUUUACUCGCGACGAACAUUUUUAAUUCGUUAACCCUUUGCACUCCUACGUCGAGCGUGAUUCGACGUCAAUUUUUAUCUCAGGAGCUCACUUUUCCAAGUGAGACUUUUUCAAGUCCAAA